rnacentral:rRNA from 1 species
GCACCCGCGGUAAUUCCAGCACCAAUAGCGUAUAUUAAUGCUGCUGCUGUUAAAAAGCUCGUAGUUGGAUCAAGAGUUGGACAGUGCACGGUGGCCCCAUUUGUUACAGUGGUUCCGAUCACUGUGACGGUGGCGGAUCAACCCCGUGCGCCAAACUGUCCACUCUAACAGACCGAAACGGUUCCCUGUGAGUAGGCUCCUUCAUUGGGGCUGAAAGCGCUUACGCAUCAACCAUAUGCAUACGGGACGUCGGUCAAAGUUACUGUGAACAAACCAGCGUGUCCAAAACAGGCCUUCGCCUGAAUGUUCGAGCAUGGAAUAACAAGGGAUCGAUUCUCUCGGUUCUUUUUGUUGGUUUUUAACCCGAGAAGGAGUAAUUCAGGCCACGGUGUCUGAGUUGGGUUUCCCUUCACCUCGGUGGAGGCCCCAAUUAGGCCGUGUCCUUACGGGAUCAAUAGGGACUGACGGGGUCGUACGUACUUCCACGUCAGAGGUGAAAUUCUUAGAUCGUGGGAAGACGAACUUCUGCGAAAGCAUUCGACAAGAAUGUCUUCAUUAAUCAAGAACGAGAGUGUGGGGAUCGAAGAUGAUCAGAUACCGUCGUAGUCCACUACUGUAAACAAUGCCGUCUCAGGAUUGAGAAGUGAACAGAAUGACUUUCACAGCACUAACCCCUGAAACGAGAAAUCAAAGAUUAUGGGUUCAGGGGGGAGUACAUUCGCAAGGCUGAAACUUAAAGGAAUUGACGGAAUGACACCACAAGGCGUGGAGUAUGCGGCUUAAUUUGACUCAACACGGGGAAUUUUACUAGGUCAGGACAAUGUAAGGAUUGACAGAUUGAGAGCUCUUUCUCGAUCCAUUGUGUGGUGGUGCAUGGCCGCUCCUGGUUGGUGGAGUGAUUUGUCUGGUUGAUUCCGUUAACGAACGAGAUCUCGACCCUUAAAUAGGUGCCCAUGUCGAUUGUAGUUUCGCCUCUGCCCGCUUGCGGGAUUUGAGCGGGACGAGACUGUGGGAAUACUUCUUAAGGGGACUGUGUGCGUCUCUAGCACGCGGAAGAGCGAGCCAAUAGCAGGUCUGUGAUGCUCCUAAAUGUCCUAGGCUGCACGCGCACUACACUGAUGCAAUAAACGAGUCUGAGUGCCUUCUGGCAACCUACCUGGAAGCGGGUGGGAAAUCUUUUGAACUUGCAUCGUGAUGAG